ensembl:lncRNA novel transcript
CUGAACAUUUUGAAACAGAAACCCGAGAAUAAUGCCUUGCGGGGAGAAAAGCUUCAGAUUAAAAUUUCGGAAUAAAAAUAAGGAGAAAAAUAAUUUUACCCAAACACCACUUUGCCUUUCCUUUACUCGUAAAUUCAAGAGUCUCAAAUAACCAUUUAAAUACUGUGAAGUUAAAGAAUUUUCUUAAUUAUAAAUAAAUUGUGCUUAAGGGAAACCUGGAAGCUUUAGUAAGUUUCUAAUUUUUAAAAUUAUGUGCACCACCUUAUUUAUAUUUUCUAAAUGACUAUUCCAAGUGGGAAAUAAAUACAGUAAUACAGUUAUGUCUUCACCUGCCAACCAACACCACAGUUAUGGUCCAAUGAACUGUAUU